GAUGAACGCUGGCGGCGUGCCUAAUACAUGCAAGUCGAGCGAACGGACGAGAAGCUUGCUUCUCUGAUGUUAGCGGCGGACGGGUGAGUAACACGUGGAUAACCUACCUAUAAGACUGGGAUAACUUCGGGAAACCGGAGCUAAUACCGGAUGAUAUUUUGAACCGCAUGGUUCAAAAGUGAAAGACGGUCUUGCUGUCACUUAUAGCUGGAUCCGCGCUGCAUUAGCUAGUGGGUAAGGUAACGGCUUACCAAGGCAACGAUGCAUAGCCGACCUGAGAGGGUGAUCGGCCACACUGGAACUGAGACACGGUCCAGACUCCUACGGGAGGCAGCAGUAGGGAAUCUUCCGCAAUGGGCGAAAGCCUGACGGAGCAACGCCGCGUGAGUGAUGAAGGUCUUCGGAUCGUAAAACUCUGUUAUUAGGGAAGAACAUAUGUGUAAGUAACUGUGCACAUCUUGACGGUACCUAAUCAGAAAGCCACGGCUAACUACGUG
rnacentral:rRNA from 1 species